rnacentral:rRNA from 1 species
CCUACGGGAGGCAGCAGUGGGGAAUAUUGGGCAAUGGGCGCAAGCCUGACCCAGCAACGCCGCGUGAAGGAAGAAGGCUUUCGGGUUGUAAACUUCUAUUCUCAGGGACGAAGAACGUGACGGUCGCGGAGGAAUAAGCCAGGGCUACCUACGUGCCAGCAGCCGCGGUAAGACGUAUGUGGCAAGCGGUAUCCGGAUUUAUUGGGUGUAAAGGGCGGGUAGGCGGGAGCGCAAGUCAGAUGUGAACACGCAGGGCUCCACCCUGAGCCUGCAUUUGAAACUGUGUUUCUUGAGUGCUGGAGAGUCAAUCGGAAUUCCGUGUGUAGCGGUGAAAUGCGUAGAUAUACGGAGGAACACCAGUGGCGAAGGCGGAUUGCUGGACAGUAACUGACGCUGCGGCGCGAAAGCGUGGGGAGCAAACAGGAUUAGAUACCCCUGUAGUC